UAGGGAAUCUUCGGCAAUGGGGGGAACCCUGACCGAGCAACGCCGCGCGAGUGAAGAAGGUUUUCGGAUCGUAAAGCUCUGUUGUUAAGGAAGAACGAGUGUGAGAAUGGAAAGUUCAUACUGUGACGGUACUUAACCAGAAAGGGACGGCUAACUACGUGCCAGCAGCCGCGGUAAUACGUAGGUCCCGAGCGUUGUCCGGAUUUAUUGGGCGUAAAGCGAGCGCAGGCGGUUAGAUAAGUCUGAAGUUAAAGGCAGUGGCUCAACCAUUGUAGGCUUUGGAAACUGUUUAACUUGAGUGCGGAAAGGGAGAGUGGAAUUCCAUGUGUAGCGGUGAGAUGCGUAGAUAUAUGGAGGAACACCGGUGGCGAAAGCGGCUCUCUGGUCUGUAACUGACGCUGAGGCUCGAAAGCGUGGGGAGCGAACAGG
rnacentral:rRNA from 1 species